ACAAUUGCGUUGCAGAAAAACUGGAAGAAAAACCAAAACAAAAUCCUCUUUUGAUCUUGACCGUUGACUGAUAAAGUAGAUAGAAGGGACGGUUGUGAUUUAGUGAAAGUGGGCCUUCGUUUUACUGUCACUCCCUUCUAGAAUCUAGUCCAUGAACCUUGCAGUCAUCCUCUAAUGGCGUUUUGCUGGCUUUUUUCUGCGAUGGAGAACGCUUCUCCUUCGUCGGCGUAAAGGUUUCAGCUUCCUCUCUUUACUGAUUUGAUGGAAGAGGGGGAGGUGGUGGUGGCAUCAAUGGAGAUGGCAACUGUGAUUCCUUUCCAGUUAGUUUUGGUGCCAAUUGCAAACAAGUGGUAGGCCUUGGUGGUGGCCUUGGCACCCUUGGUGAUCUUGCCUUAAUUGCUGAACAGAAGAUUUCCCGCCUAAUUUAUCGGCAUCCUGGGCUUGUAGCUUAGUGAUUUGGCCUUUUAAGUGGAGGAUUUCUUGUCGAAGUGCUUUGUUCUCCUUCUCCAAAUGACAGUUUCUAUCAAGACAAGCUUGCAGCUUGCUUCUAAGAUUACUAUAUUCUCCUCAGGAGAAAAAAGGAUGGGACUCUCUGAGAAAAGAAAAGGUCUUCAGGCCUUUAAAGCAGAUUCUUACUUGAGGACAACCAUGUCUUCUUCAUGGUUUCUUGACUAGCAUUUUCUUUUUUACACUGAAGUAAGCACAAGAUUUGGUUGGAUGAAUAAAAAUACGGUGAAUUUGCUUGGAAUCAAAGUGGUUGAGAUGGGGUAGCUCGCUUGACAAGCAAUGCUGUUGAGGUCUCACUAAUCUCGGCGGUGGUCAAACAAUGACACGCACCUGGCUUUCGCUUUCUCCUUUAAUUCUUUUCACCUGCUUGUGGCUUUCCAACAGUGACAACCGAUGCUUAUUUAGUAUAACCCAGAGGGAUUGCUCUUCCAGUUCUUUCUGCCUCCCUUGAUGUUUAGGUGACAUGAAAAGGGACAUAAUAAUGGAAGGAGAUUACUUUGGAGUGGAACGAUGGAUUCCUUAGUACCAGCAAGUUACUUUAUAGUUUCAGAGUGGGAUCCAUUGGGGCACCUUAAUUUGGACAAUGACGAGUAUCAGAUUGCCUGCGAAUACUUGCCCUGAUUGGGAGGGAGAACAGGGUGAUACAUUCUCAUUAAAGGGGCAUGGAGUUGCCCUGCAUCCAUGGAUCAGCUGUCCUUCAGAGUAAUCACCACUGUUUCGAUGGAAAUUCUUGGUUCUAAAUUCAUCACGGAACUCUUCUUUU